rnacentral:rRNA from 1 species
AUUGAACGCUGGCGGAAUGCUUUACACAUGCAAGUCGAACGGCAGCACGGACUGCGGUCUGGUGGCGAGUGGCGAACGCGUGAGUAAUGUAUCGGAACGUGCCCAGUCGUGGGGGAUAACGUAGUGAAAAUUACGCUAAUACCGCAUACGAUCUAUGGAUGAGAGCGGGGGAUCGCAAGACCUCGCGCGAUUGGAGCGGCCGAUAUCAGAUUAGGUAGUUGGUGGGGUAAAGGCCCACCAAGCCAACGAUCUGUAGCUGGUCUGAGAGGACGACCAGCCACACUGGAACUGAGACACGGUCCAGACUCCUACGGGAGGCAGCAGUGGGGAAUUUUGGACAAUGGGCGAAAGCCUGAUCCAGCCAUUCCGCGUGCAGGAUGAAGGCCCUCGGGUUGUAAACUGCUUUUGUACAGAACGAAAAGGUUUCUACUAAUACUAGGAGCUCAUGACGGUACUGUAAGAAUAAGCACCGGCUAACUACGUGCCAGCCGCCGCAGUAA